rnacentral:rRNA from 1 species
GUGGGGAAUAUUGGGCAAUGGGCGAAAGCCUGACCCAGCAACGCCGCGUGAAGGAAGAAGGCUUUCGGGUUGUAAACUUCUUUUGUCAGGGACGAAAAAAAUGACGGUACCUGACGAAUAAGCCACGGCUAACUACGUGCCAGCAGCCGCGGUAAUACGUAGGUGGCAAGCGUUAUCCGGAUUUACUGGGUGUAAAGGGCGUGUAGGCGGGAAAGCAAGUCAGAUGUGAAAACUAUGGGCUCAACCCAUAGCCUGCAUUUGAAACUGUUUUUCUUGAGUACUGGAGAGGCAGAUGGAAUUCCUAGUGUAGCGGUGAAAUGCGUAGAUAUUAGGAGGAACACCAGUGGCGAAGGCGAUCUGCUGGACAGCAACUGACGCUGAGGCGCGAAAGCGUGGGGAGCAAACAGGAUUAGAAACCCUUGUAGUCC